UACGGAGGGUGCAAGCGUUAAUCGGAAUUACUGGGCGUAAAGGGUGCGUAGGCGGUUGUUUAAGUCUGUUGUGAAAUCCCCGGGCUCAACCCGGGAACUGCGUCCGAUACUGGAAGGCUUGAAUCCGGGAGAGGGAUGCGGAAUUCCAGGUGUAGCGGUGAAAUGCGUAGAUAUCUGGAGGAACACCGGUGGCGAAGGCGGCAUCCUGGACCGGCAUUGACGCUGAGGCGCGAAAGCCAGGGGAGCAAACGGG
rnacentral:rRNA from 1 species